AGAGUUUGAUCCUGGCUCAGGAUGAACGCUAGCGGCAGGCUUAACACAUGCAAGUCGAGGGGUAACAGGAAUAGCUUGCUAUUUGCUGACGACCGGCGCACGGGUGAGUGAGUAACGCGUAUGCAACCUACCUUUUACUGGAGAAUAGCCUUUAGAAAUGAAGAUUAAUACUCCAUAAUAAUAGAGACUCUCCUGAGUUUUUAUUUAAAGUUUCGGCGGUAAAAGAUGGGCAUGCGUUUUAUUAGUUAGUUGGUAAGGUAACGGCUUACCAAGACUACGAUAAAUAGGGGUCCUGAGAGGGAGAUCCCCCACACUGGUACUGAGGCACGGUCCAGACUCCUACGGGAGGCAGCAGUGAGGAAUAUUGGUCAAUGGGCGCAAGCCUGAACCAGCCAUCCCGCUUGUAGGAAGACUGCCCUAUGGGUUGUAAACUACUUUUAUAAAGGAAGAAACCCUUCUACGUGUAGAAGGCUGACUGUACUUUACGAAUAAGCACCGGCUAACUCCGUGCCAGCAGCCGCGGUAAUACGGAGGGUGCAAGCGUUAUCCGGAUUUAUUGGGUUUAAAGGGUGCGUAGGCGGGCCUUUAAGUCAGUGGUGAAAUCCUGCAGCUUAACUGUAGAACUGCCAUUGAUACUGAAGGCCUUGAGUAUAGUUGAGGUAGGCGGAAUGUGUAAUGUAGCGGUGAAAUGCUUAGAUAUUACACAGAACACCGAUUGCGUAGGCAGCUUACUAAGCUAUAACUGACGCUGAUGCACGAAAGCGUGGGGAGCGAACAGGAUUAGAUACCCUGGUAGUCCACGCCGUAAACGAUGAUCACUCGUUGUUGGCAAUACACCGUCAGCGACUGAGCGAAAGCAUUAAGUGAUCCACCUGGGGAGUACGGUCGCAAGAUUGAAACUCAAAGGAAUUGACGGGGGCCCGCACAAGCGGAGGAACAUGUGGUUUAAUUCGAUGAUACGCGAGGAACCUUACCUGGGCUUAAAUGUAGAGUGCAUAAACGGGAAACUGUUUUUUCCUUCGGGACUCUUUACAAGGUGCUGCAUGGUUGUCGUCAGCUCGUGACGUGAGGUGUCGGGUUAAGUCCCAUAACGAGCGCAACCCCUAUCGCUAGUUGCCAGCGAGUCAAGCUGAGGACUCUAGCGAGACUGCCACCGUAAGGUGAGAGGAAGGUGGGGAUGACGUCAAGUCAGCACGGCCCUUACGUCCAGGGCUACACACGUGUUACAAUGGUCGGUACAGAGAGCAGCUACUUGGUGACAAGAUGCCAAUCUUCAAAGCCGGUCUUAGUUCGGAUCGAAGUCUGCAACUCGACUUCGUGAAGUUGGAUUCGCUAGUAAUCGCAUAUCAGCCACGAUGCGGUGAAUACGUUCCCGGGCCUUGUACACACCGCCCGUCAAGCCAUGGAAGCUGGGGGUACCUGAAGUCCGUAACCGCAAGGAUCGGCCUAGGGUAAAACUGGUGACUGGGGCUAAGUCGAAACAAGGUA
rnacentral:rRNA from 1 species